rnacentral:rRNA from 1 species
GAGUUUGAUCCUGGCUCAGGACGAACGCUGGCGGCGUGGAUUAGGCAUGCAAGUCGAACGCGAAAGUUUCCCUUCGGGGGAAUGAUUAGAGUGGCGGACGGGUGAGUAACGCGUAGGUAUCUGCCUUUAAGUGGGGGAUAGCCCCGGGAAACCGGGAUUAAUACCGCAUGUGGAACUUCGGUUCUAAAGAUGGCCUCUGUUUCAAGCUAUCGCUUAGAGAUGAGCCUGCGUCCUAUUAGCUAGUUGGUAAGGUAACGGCUUACCAAGGCGAUGAUAGGUAGGCGGCUUUAACGAGUGGUCGCCCACACUGGGAUUGAGAUACGGCCCAGACUCCUACGGGAGGCAGCAGUCGAGAAUAGUCUACAAUGGAGGAAACUCUGAUAGUGCGACGCCGCGUGGAUGAAGAAGCAUUUCGGUGUGUAAAAUCCUUUUCUUUGUGAGCAAUGCCUGUAUGAUUAAUAGUUUUACAGGAGAGAUAUUAGCAGAGGAAUAAGCUCCGGCUAACUCCGUGCCAGCAGCCGCGGUAACACGGGGGGAGCAAGCGUUGUCCGGAAUUACUAGGCGUAAAGGGCAAGUAGGCGGAAUUGUAAGUCAGAUGUUAAAGGCACCGGCUCAACCGGUGUACGGCAUUUGAUACUGUAAUUCUAGAGUAAGGUGGGGGAAGAUGGAAUUCCUGGUGUAGCGGUGGAAUGCGCAGAUAUCAGGAAGAACACCAGAGGCGAAGGCGAUCUUCUAUACCAUUACUGACGCUAAAUUGCGAANGUGUGGGUAUCAAACAGGAU